CGGCGAGUGAAGCGGCAAUAGCUCAAAUUUGAAAGCUGGCGUCUUCGACGUCCGCGUUGUAAUUUGUAGAGGAUGCUUCGGCAAGGACUCCUGCCUAAGUCCCCUGGAACGGGGCGUCACAGAGGGUGAGAAUCCCGUAUGUGGCGGGCGGUCCGAGCCAUGUGAAGCUCCUUCGACGAGUCGAGUUGUUUGGGAAUGCAGCUCUAAAUGGGAGGUAAAUUUCUUCUAAAGCUAAAUAUUGGCCAGAGACCGAUAGCGCACAAGUAGAGUGAUCGAAAGAUGAAAAGCACUUUGGAAAGAGAGUUAAAAAGUACGUGAAAUUGUUGAAAGGGAAGCGCUUGCAACCAGACUCGCUCGCAGUUGCUCAGCCGGCCUCUUGGCCGGUGUACUCUUCUGCGAUCGGGCCAGCAUCGGUUCGGGCGGCCGGAUAAAGGUGUCGGGAAUGUAGCACCCUUCGGGGUGUGUUAUAGCCCGGCGCGGAAUGCGGCCAGCCUGGACCGAGGAUCUCGCUUCGGCAAGGAUGCUGGCGUAAUGGUUGUAAGCGGCCCGUCUUGAAACACGGACCAAGGAGUCUAACAUCUAUGCGAGUGUUUGGGUGUCAAACCCAUGCGCGUAAUGAAAGUGAACGGAGGUGGGAACCCCUCACGGGGUGCACCAUCGACCGAUCCUGAUGUCUUCGGAUGGAUUUGAGUAAGAGCAUAGCUGUUGGGACCCGAAAGAUGGUGAACUAUGCCUGAAUAGGGUGAAGCCAGAGGAAACUCUG
rnacentral:rRNA from 1 species